AGGUCUCAUAGAGCUGGGA
rnacentral:snRNA from 1 species